UCACCCAGUGUCCCUCCUUCUGCAGUGCACUCUCUGGUGUGCUUCUCCUGCGUCAACCAGAACAGCAAUCUCUACUGUCUGAAGCCCACCGUCUGCUCCUCUUCUGACAACUACUGUGUGACUAUAUCUGCCUCUGCUGGCAUUGGUGAGUGCUGGCCAGGAGCACCUCAGCCUCGCCCACCCGACCCCUUGGCUGUCUCCCAUGGCCAGUGCGACCCCUCACAGUCUGGUUUUCCUGCAGGGAAUGUCGUGGACUUUGGACACACCCUGAACAAGGGCUGCUCCCCCAUCUGCCCUGGUCCUAGCGUCAAUCUCGGCGUGGCGUCUGUGGGCACCCACUGCUGCCAGAGCUUCCUGUGCAAUUUCAGUGCCGCCGGCCGGGGACCGCGGGCCAGCACCGCACUGCUCGGCCUCGGGCUCCUGCUCAGCUUGCUCUCUGUUCUGCUGAGACUGGGCCCCUGACCUUCUGGACCUGAGUCCCCCAUGUCCCCCAGCUCAGGAAGAAAAGCCCCAUCCCUCGCAGAUCCCAGGAGGCUAUUGGAGCCUCCAGCUCCUUGGCGUGCCUGAUCCCCCCACCUUGGGCCAGAACCACCCCCUGCACCUACCCCUGCACAGCCCCUACCCCAUGUGGGGCCAGCCGCCCUCACUUCUGCAACCAAUUGUGUGACCUUUCUCAAGGAACCAGGACGGGAUGAGGGUUCCCCUGAAGUCUUAGGGUCCCCAAGGGCAGGACUGAGCCUUGUGGACACCAGAGGGACAUUUAAGCCAUCAGCCCUAGGCGCACUGAGUGUGGGGUGGUGGCAGACACCAGCGUUUUGUGAAUGUUUAGGUGCGAGUCCCUGGGAUGGUGUUGUGAGAGGGACAGGAGAGUCCCGGGCAGCAGCAGCCCCCGGAACCCUGAUUCACCAGACCCCCCCAUCUGCACCCACAUUGCACUCACUUCAGGGGUAGCCUUUAGGGGCGGGGGGCUCCCAGUGCUUCCAGGCAUGGGCUCCCAGCCCAGGUCCUGCUGAGCCCUGCCUGGCCCUCCUUGCUCCUGCACUGGCACCCCGCUGCUGCCUCAGUGCCU
rnacentral:lncRNA from 1 species